UGCUGUUGAUGAUGCUGUGUACUGCCGAG
rnacentral:piRNA from 1 species